AUGGCCCCUACCAGCACCACCUGGGUCUUGCUCAAGCGAAUGAUUUUCAUCGAGCACGACGCGAGCGAAACAGGAGGGGAUUCGUUCAUCGGCGGGAAGAACACAAGAGACGCCGUCCUCGCCUACCUGCGGACCUUGAAACCAGAUGCCUGCUUCGCCAAUCCACCGGAGCUGUCCUCCCUCCGCAUACUGCGGCCGAUGAAAUUCACCCCGGGGAUAUGCGGAGAUGUCACUUCCGCCUACAUCGCCAGCGGGGACAAAAAUCUCGUCGCUCUCUUCGCCGACCCUUACCGCCCCGGCACCAAUUCACAAGGAGGCUAUCUGAUCUACGACGCCAGCAAGAAUUCCCUCUCGACGAUCCCCCAGCCCCCCUGUGACUACGACCGUGAGGACGUCGGGCUUGGAGCGGUUGUCAUCUGCCUCGAGGAGGGCGCAUACGUUCUUGUCGAGCUCACCAAGGUAAGAGACUCUGAGCCCACCGUAGCCGCACUCUACACGUGGCAGUCUUCCACCACGGAGUGGGUCAUCAAGCUCGCGAGCUUUCCCCCCGAGCUGUCCUUUCCCAACCAUUUCUUCCGGGCAGGGACGUGCUUCCCUUAUCGAGGCUCUAGACUCUGCUGGGUGGAUCUGUUUAAAGGCAUGAUGGUCUGUCAUCUGGACGCGUUGCUUCAGGAUGGCGGCCGCCCAGAGUUCUGCUUCAUUCCGUUGCCUGAAGAGUGCCCGGCAUUUGACCGUGUCCAAAUGUCCGAACAGACAUAUCCACUGGAGGCGGAGGAGUUCCGUUACAUUGCCUGUAUUGGUGGCGUGAUCAAAUUCGUCACCAUGGAUGGCUAUGGCGAGCGGCCCGGCCAUGAAGUAACACUGACCAUCUGGACGCUGUCGCAGAACCUCUGCAGUUGGAAGAAAGACAAGGUGUACCAUGUCCGGGACAUCUGGAAAAGUGAGAGCCACAUCUCGUUGGGCCUGCCGGAGGUCUUGCCGUCGUUCCCGGUGCUGAGCAUGGACGAAGAAGACGUUGUCUAUCUGUUCUUCACUGACCUGAACGUGACAGAGGACGGUGACACGGAGUUCAAAGGCCAGUGUUUGAUUCGUGUCGACAUGAAGCAUAGCAAGGUCUCCCACCAUCCCAAAAGUGCAGAUGAGAUGCCAAGUCAACUCUUCAGCAGUGAAAUUCUUGCCAGUGAGUGCACUGCAUACCUACAGGGCGUGGAGGACCACCAGGUGCGGCUCUUCUUGGCGCGGCCGAGGACGAUGGUCAUGGGCAACGUGCCAGAGACGCCCAUCUACCGGUGGAUGGACCAGUACACGACGUGCUCGACGGCACCCUUCGCGAGAAGAUCACCCGAUGGAUUGACGACGACGACGAACGAACCUCGUCCUCAACAUGUGUGA
rnacentral:rRNA from 1 species